GUAGUCAUUUUCUCAUAGACUUCUAUACAACCAGAGGAGUCUCCCCCUGAUGGCUAUUGGAGAGAAUGCAGCUCUUUAGCAUUGGUUCCAAUUUGGCCCACACAUAAAAACAUUGUCCUAAAGCAUUAAUAGUGGUCACAAACUCCACGGGGAACCUCUGACCACACUCCUGAUCACAGCUGAGUGUGUGCUGUGAUGCACCUGUGUUCACAUCAGAAUUAAUGUGAAAGUGUGUUUUUUCUUUGAUUAAAAUUCUUUAUACAGUCCUGAUUGUAGCGUUUAGCUGGCCUCUUAUGAGAUUUGAGCUGAUAAAUGUUGUGCCUGAUGUAGGAGAUACCUUGGUGUCAUGCCUAAAGAAGAGCAUUCCCACAGUGUCGAAUGACAAUGACCACAAAACACAAUUAAUAAAAAAAAGUGAAGAUGAUCAAAUGUGACUAAGUCAGGCCACAUAUAGCUAUGUUCAUGUGUUUUUGUGUCCAGAGGAAGAUGGUCGUCCCAGAAGAGCAAACACUCAGGAAGAAAACGAGCAACGCAACGAGCCAAUAUUGUGAUCCUCUAAUGCCGCACCAUAUCAGGGUUGCCAUGGCGAAGGCAGCAUGACUCACGGGUGGCCUUGCAGCUCUGCCUGUCUCCACCUGCUCACCCUACCCUAAUCCAAACCAGCCAAUGUAAGGCUCAGCAAUGAGACCCCUCCUCCCCAGGGAGAGGAACGGGACUGUUCCCAGCACUGGCCUAACUGUCAAUAAAUGCAUUCUCUCUGUAUUCUAACACUUUGUUAAUAUAUCAUUUUAAAUGUAAAGGGAAAUGCAUAAGUCCUUUCCAGUAUUUGUAAACUACUUCCCUUAAGAGAGAGGAACACUAGAGUAGUGAUGAUCUUGCCAUAUGAACCGUUGUUACUUUUCCAGACUGUAUUCUGAUUGGUGCCCCUCAGGCUUGCCAUUUCAGAUCCUUUCUAUACAAUAAACCAUGUAGAGCUUUUUUUACCAUCUUUUCUUAUCAGAUUGUAAUAUUCUGCUGUUUUUGAAAGUAACUGAAAUUCUUAUGUCUGAAUAUUGUGGCCAUUAAUGUUGUGGCUGCCCAAAUGUCAACACUUGGCCAAUGUAAGCAGCUGAUCUAAAGGACUGUCGGUAGAAAGCAUGUUUAGAGCAGUUUACCAGUUUUUUGUUUUUUUUUGGCAAGGUGGAAACGAUAUCAUUCAAUCUGUUGUAGCACCCUUUAACAGCACAGUGGUCCGAAUAUCAAUCCAGGAUGACGGCACAUGGGUGUCACCUGAAUGAUAACAUCAUUUAUCAAAUGUAAUGCUACAGAUGUGAUGCGCAUAACAGCAUAUUGUUGUCACCUUCAGACUUAGAUUAAAUAAAUCCCACGCAGCAAUAACAUGACUUUGAUGAGCAUGAGUCUGAGCAUUAUACCUUCCUCAGUUCUCAAUAUUGUGGUGGCUGCAAUUUGUAAUGGGAGCAAACCAGUGGUGUCCUAGAGAAACGGUCACCACUACUGUUAACAGUGGCAAGGUUCAAAGUGAAUUGGGCACUCCAAUUCCAGAUGUCAAUAUCUACCUCCUCCUACCCAUAAACCCUUGCAUGUUUGAGGUCAUGUCCUGUUAGUUUGGAUUAUGUUAUCAGUCCUGCCACAUCCAGAGCAGAGACACGGACGUACUCUGAAUACCUCGCCUACAGCAGGGAAAACAAUUAGCAACCCAGGGCUGAAGUGCUGGAGCCAGCUACAGAGUUCAGCAUCUCAAAGGGUUCAUUUAGCACCCUAUGUCUUCCAGGGGUGCAGUCUAAACGAUAACGGGACACGUUAGCAAGCUAAUGUCGUUGGCUAAGGCACUUGCCAACAUAAUACUGCAUAGCUUUCUAAUUGAUCCAUAUUCCACUGUAAGACAAGUUGCAUACUGUCAUCAGGCUUUAGCUUAAUAUACAGAAAUAUAGUUCAAACUGAUCCCACAGUUCUCAUUCUUCCUGCUGAUGCCUCUUUCGGUUUGACAGCUUCUAAAAACUUAGUUCUGUGUUUGUGUUGGUAGAGCAUUGAACCACACGCCAGCUUCUCGCCAUUUAUCUGUUUUCUAGCGAAGGCGGCGAGGAGGAACCUUGACACAAGUCAAUGGAGAGUGGUGAAUUGUUUUCCCUUCCAGUGUGGGCGGGGCUCUGUGGCUCAGGCCUGUGUUUUUGGGCCUCACUGUAAUGUUUCUUUUUGGGGAAUGGCAUUGAUCUCAUCUCCCCUAUUGAACCACACUAGAAGUCUGAAUCCACUGCUCUGGACAUGCUUGAAGUGAGCAUGCCCAUAGAGCUCCAUUCACUGCUUCACAAAAACUUUGAUAAUAUUCUGCCAGGUUCCCAGAACUCUUGCAUUAAACCUGGGAGAUGUUUGCAAGAUGUUAUGGAAAUAGGAAAUAUCACCUACUUUGCCAUACCUCAGAUCGUCCUUGUAGCAAAUCAUGUCUUUGUUGAUGUCAUCUCCUUGAGUGAAGGGAGAGACAUGUUCUGGAUCCCACAGUUAAUGCUGUAAACAAUGGCGUCAUGUUUGGACAUGGAAGUGAAGACUGAAGUUGGACAAAAUGCAAACACGAAAAUGACGCUUUUCUACUGCUCCAUUUGUAUGUGUAGAUGUGAAACUAGCAUGGGUUCAAUAAGUAGUGUGAGAUGUUGCCUGUGUGAACAGAAGGUGUUAGGAGAGGUCAGAUCAUCAACUCUUUUCUUUCUCCCUCUGUCCAUAACAUGUUUUUUAUCACCUAAGAAAAUCUCCACAAAUGAACUUCUCUGGAUUGUUUUCUCAGUUUUGUGUGUUAUCUAUCACUUAUCUAUCCCCUUUGAUUAAACUGCUUCAAUGUGCUAUUUGCUUAUUAAGUGAUGAACAAAGUUUGGAUGACUGACUGAUGUUAAAAAAGGAAUUUGUUGAAUGCAUGUUUUCCACAUGUAUUACAAGUCAUACAUGACAUCACUUUUAAAGCCGCUCUGUUAAAGCCUCUGUGCUCUACUGCCCAGAGGCAGUAGAGCUCUGUGUGUGUGUGUGCCAAGCAGCACACAGACACAGUGAGAGCCUAGCAGGUGAACACAGAGGAGCAUCUAGCAGCUACAAAGUUUUGUCUCACAGUUGUGCUGCUACCAGGUGGCUGAAAAAAGAAAUGAAUGCAGCUUUAAUAAAUGGGCUGGAACAAAAACGUAGCUGGGUUAAAGGGUCAUCAGGUCCAGGUGUUUCCUGAAAGAGUGCAGAACGUUUGUCUCCCCCCUUGGCACUGACAGUAAUUACACAAACAGCUUAGAUGUAUGCUUGCAGGAGAGAUGUGAGCUCGCCGCCCCGAUGAAUGAAUCCUUUUUUAAACAUUACACAGCAUUAGUUCUGAUAAACUGAGAAAUACCGAGAGCUGCCCUGGCGGUGACGGUGUUAAUCAGCAGUGUGUUCACUCGUUUGGAAGACGCUUGAUUGGAACAAACCGGACGUUCAUAUGUAAAAGUCCUGCACUCCAGCUUUAAGGGACAGAUCCCUAAAUGACCCCAUCAUCAGAAGGUGAAAUGUUCACUCAUCAUGAUCAUGUGCUGCUUCUCUUUUCUCAGUCAGAAUAUUUACUGAUGUUGACGUUAAAGUCCAAUUUGAGCAGCUUGUUUGAAUGUUGAACUUUAACAGAGAACUCGGUGUCAAAGUGGAAUGAAUUCAUAUUAAACAAAUCUAUAAAUGAUUUACCUUUAUUGGCUUUUUGGGAAAUUUCAUUUGCAUAAUGAACCUUGAAAACAUACACAACAAAAACAGACACUCCACCUGUGUAGUAGGCUCAAUUAAAAUAACCGUUUUAAAUUGAUUUAAUGGUUUAAAUUGGAAGACAAAAGACACAAUAUCAUACUCGGACAGAAGCCAGUCAACACGAGUCACAGGAAACAUGAACAGAUGGUGGGCUUUUGUUUUUAGUCCAUGACCUUUCACCCAGCCACAUAAACAAUCCAGAUCCACAAUAUUGCCAAAUACUCAGACAUUAGUCCAGAAUACUAUAACUGGGACACUUGGAUCGUUGUUUAUUGAACUGCAGCGUAAUGAGCUGGCUCCAGAGCUGUUUCAGGCAGCUUUUGUCUAGUUUUUGCUGUGAUUUGUCAGCAGGUUGAUGAUGGAUUCUUCUUUUUGGAAACUUUAGUUGAUGUCUUCUCCUCUCAGGGACCCCCCCAAUGAUUCUCCAUUUUGAUUUUGAUGCACCUUACAAGCCCAAAUACUCCAAACAGGAGUAGAGGUUAUCAACAUUAGGACUAUUUAGUGCCAUUCAGAGCGGUCAAUCAUAACAAAGACAAUAUUUUAAAGCAACAGUCAAUUUGAAAAAUAAGCAAUUAUUGAUCUUUCAUCUGUCUCUGGUGAACAAGAGUAUUCUUCCCAUCAUCCCACUUUCUUUCUCUUCGAUCACUGCACUUCCAUAAUCCCGAUCAGUCUUCCAAAUCACAGCGUGUGUGGCCUGAACACAGAAGCUCUCACUGUUUCAGGGUUUAUUCUGUUAACUGGAUGUGAAGUCCUUAUUGUUCUGUGGAGCUGAUCAGAUAUACUGUAGAUCACAUGAUGCCACGUACACUACAGCCACACCAUAUGUUGUAGGUUGAGCUUUCUUUUGUUUAUUAACCUUUUAUCAAGUAUUCAGUGUCCAUUUCAUUUUCUUUGUAUUUUACAUACCUCUCUUUAAUUUGAAAGUGUGUAUGAAGAUAUGAUUUUUACUUGACAUACUGCAUGCACAUCUUGAAAUGUAAAAUAUGAAAUGCUUCCUAAACUGUAUUUUUCCAAUUCAAUGUUAUUUUUCAAUGUGGAAUUACUCUAAUAUUUUUUAAAUGUUACUUUAGUUUUUUAUGCACAUUUUCAAUGCAAAUAAAAUGUUAUAUAUAUAUUAUAUAAUUCUAAAUCAGAAGUAUUAAUUGAUUAUAAUUGACCACUGUAAAAGUUUUUUUUCCAUUGACAAACUCAAGACUCGAUAUAAAUGAGUCAGGUUAAGGAAAAGUGCUAGAAUACCUGAAAAGUGUACGCUGAUGUUUGGGGGGGAUUUCUUCUUCUCUACAGUAUGCACACCCACGUUCUCAAGUGGUCAUUUAAGCUGGUCAGCAAACAGAGUGUCUGUUGAGGAGAACUGAGCAGCUGGAUCAUCAAACACUAACAGAAACACUAACAUCAUGAAUGUGCAUAUGAACUGCAGUGGAGCCGUUUAGCAACAUGACCAUUGUUUACAGUGAUAUGUCUUCAGAAUGUAGGCCAUAUCCUCACAGCAGGAAGCACACGUAGGGCUAGACACUCUCCAUAUCCUCACAGCAGGAAGCACACCCAGGGCUAGACACUCUCCAUAUCCUCACAGCAGGAAGCACACGCAGGGCUAGACACUCUCCAUAUCCUCACAGCAGGAAGCACACCCAGGGCUAGACACUCUCCAUAUCCUCACAGCAGGAAGCACACCCAGGGCUAGACACUCUCCAACCCUUUUAUACGGAGCUCACCUCUUCAUGUUGCUGGUAGUCUUUGAAAUGUCCAACAGGAAGAAAACAUUGGCCCUCGUUAGAUCUGAAACUCUGACUUUCUGAUGAAAGUGAACAUUAGACAUGUUUUCUUCUCCAACAAUUCGUAGUGAUUGUUGUGUUUUCAUUUUUAUUUGUAAGUUUUCUUGUAUGAAAGGAAAUUUCUUAGUCCUUGAUGUCAUUUUGUUGUACCUUGUCUGAUUAGUUUGUGAGUUAUAUUUGUAAAUACAAUAACAUGAUCAUUAAAGUUUUUUCUAUGAA